rnacentral:tRNA from 1 species
ACUUAAAUAGCUUAUGAAUUAGAGUAUAACAUUGAAGAUGUUAGGGAGAUAAAUAUAUUUUUAAGUA